CCUCUCCACAGUCACUGAGCACACAGGUCCUCACCAUGGGAUGGAGCUGGAUCAUCCUCUUCCUGGUGACAGCAGCUACAGGUGUCUACUCUCAGGUCAAGCUGGAGCAGUCUGGGGCUGAGCUGGUGAAGCCUGGGUCCUCAGUGAAGCUGUCCUGCAAGGCUUCAGGAUACACCUUCACUAGUUACUAUAUCAGCUGGGUGAAGCAGAAGCCUGGACAGGGCCUGGAAUGGAUUGGGUAUAUUUAUCCUGGAAAUGGUGGUACUGGAUACAAUCAGAAGUUCAAGGGCAAGGCCACACUGACUGCGGACACAUCCUCCAGCACAGCCUACAUGGAGCUCAGCAGCCUGACAUCUGAGGACUCUGCAGUCUAUUACUGUGCAAGAGACACAGUGUUGCAACCACAUCCUGAGUGUGUCAGAAACCCUGGAGGAGCAGGAAGCUGCCCUGGGACUUACUCAGAAAUAAUCAUUCUGAAUGUCACUUUGUCACUUCAUAGUCACUUAGGGUAUUUGUACACUCUUCAAAGGACAUUAGAGAAUGAACAAUGCUGGAGGACUGUGUGGUCAAGAUCAUUAACAUCAACCCUAGCAGGUGUCCAAGCACAGAUCCAGCUGGUGCAGUCAGGAGCUGAGUUGAAGCAACCUGAACAGUCAGUGAAGAUCUCCUGCAAGGCGUCAGGGUAUACCUUCACAGAUCAUACAAUGUACUUGGUGAAGCAGGCACCGGGGCAUGGCUGA